GUGGGGAAUAUUGGACAAUGGGCGCAAGCCUGAUCCAGCCAUGCCGCGUGAGUGAUGAAGGCCCUAGGGUUGUAAAGCUCUUUCACCGGUGAAGAUAAUGACGGUAACCGGAGAAGAAGCCCCGGCUAACUUCGUGCCAGCAGCCGCGGUAAUACGAAGGGGGCUAGCGUUGUUCGGAAUUACUGGGCGUAAAGCGCACGUAGGCGGACAUUUAAGUCAGGGGUGAAAUCCCGGGGCUCAACCCCGGAACUGCCUUUGAUACUGGGUGUCUGGAGUAUGGAAGAGGUAAGUGGAAUUCCGAGUGUAGAGGUGAAAUUCGUAGAUAUUCGGAGGAACACCAGUGGCGAAGGCGACUCACUGGCCCAAUACUGACGCUGAGGCGCGAAAGCGUGGGGAGCAAACAGGAUUAGAUACCCUAGUAGUCC
rnacentral:rRNA from 1 species